AAGAAGUCUUCAGCGCACGGUCGUACCAACGUGGCUGCUCACACCUUUUUACAUUUAUAUUAGUAUUUGCUACAGAUAGUCAACGUACACACGACGUACCUUCUCGUUCUGUUUUGAGAAGGUACAUACAUCAGUGUUAAAGUUAUUACCUAAAUCGCUAACAUUAGCCGGCUAGCUUGUUGCCAACAAAACGACCGGGUUUAUUUCAACACCGUAUCAAGAAACGAUAUCAUUUCACAGCUUGUAGACUUACAGUUAAACAAGUUAAAAAAAGAUCCUAACCGAUACCAUUGCUAGAGCUAGCACGGUUAGUGUUUACUUCCUAUCUUAGCCCUUUAAUGAUAAUGCUAGCUCAUAAGUUAGCUUGUUUAUGCUAACGACACACUGUGGGUAAUGGCAUGUUGGCCUCCUGUUGAAGUUCUGAUCACAUCACCACCUCGCCUAGUUUUUAGACGGCCGUCCGCUUGUCUAACUAGCUUGCUUAAUCUCGGCGGCAAGCUGCUUAGCUAGCACUUAGCCAGAAACCUUAACUCAAGCUUGGAAUGAUUUAUCUUCAGUAACCAUUUGAUCCUGGUCAAGGUCACGUUAGAUCCCGAGCGUGAGUUGGGAACGCAACAUGGCUGGGACGCCAGCUUAUCACAGGAGACCAUGCGCACACACGUUCACACACACACACACACACACACACACACACACAUGUAUAAAAGGCCGUCAUGGCUAAAAAUACCGACUACUGCACAGGAAUGACAAUAUUAGAGUUGGAGCAGAGGCGCAAGGGAGAGCGCCGGGUCAUACAUAUAAAUAACAUCGAUAUAUUAUCAGGCCUCAUUUCAAAGCCUCAGAGACAGAGAGCACUCACGGUGUAUACACACACACACACACACACACACACACACACAAACCACACCCCAGGACACUUUAUACAUUCAUGCAAUUAUUCAAUCAGCCAAUCAUGUUGCAGCAGUGCAUAAAAUCGUGCAAAGACAGGACAGGAGCGUCACCUCAAACAUCGG
ensembl:lncRNA